AUGCAGCCAUGCGCGCGUGUGAUGAAGAAGGCCUUCGGGUUGUAAAGUACUUUCAGCGGGAAGGAAGGUGUUGUGGUUAAUAACCGCAGCAAUUGACGUUACCCGCAGAAGAAGCACCGGCUAACUCCGUGCCAGCAGCCGCGGUGAUACGGAGGGUGCAAGCGUUAAUCGGAAUUACUGGGCGUAAAGCGCACGCAGGCGGUUUGUUAAGUCAGAUGUGAAAUCCCCGGGCUCAACCUGGGAACUGCAUUUGAAACUGGCAAGCUGGAGUCUCGUACAGGGAGGUAGAAUUCCAGGUGUAGCGGUGAAAUGCGUAGAGAUCUGGAGGAAUACCGGUGGCGAAGGCGGCCUCCUGGACGAAGACGGACGCUUAAGUGCGAAAGCGUGGGGAGCAAACAGGAUUAGAUACCCUGGUAGUCCACGCUGUAAACCAUGUCGAUUUGGAGGUUGUGCCCUUGAGGCGUGGCUUCCGGAGCUAACGCGUUGAAUCGACCGCCUGGGGAGUACGGCCGCAAGGUUAAAACUCAAGUGAAUUGACCGGGGCCCGCACAAGCGGUGGAGCAUGUGGUUUAAUUCCAUGCAGCGCGAAAAAUCUUACGUGGUCUUGAGAUCCAGAGACUCCUGCGGAGAUGCGCGAGUGCCUUCUCGAACUCUGAGACAAGUACUGCAUGGCUGUCGUCAGCUCGUGUUGUGAAAUGUUGGGUUGAGUCCCGCAACGAGCGCAACCCUUAUGCUUUGUUGCCGGCGCGUAAUGCCAUGAACUCACAGUACACUGCCGGUCAUGGACCUCAACAUCGUGCUGAUAACCUCCAGCUAGCCUGUCUCUUACGACGGUCCCUAGUCGAGUGCGGGGAUUUCAUAUACUAAUAGAAAGCAACGUCGGCAUGGGAUGCACACCUCAGUAAUUUAUAUCAUAGUCUCGCAUCGUACUCUUCAACUCGACUGCUGGCACUCGAGAAUCGCUGGUGCUCCCGCAUCAGAUA
rnacentral:rRNA from 1 species